AUUGAACGCUGGCGGCAGGCCUAACACAUGCAAGUCGAGCGGAGCGGCGGACGGGUGAGUAAUGCCUAGGAAUCUGCCUGGUAGUGGGGGAUAACGUCCGGAAACGGGCGCUAAUACCGCAUACUAUCAGAUGAGCCUAGGUCUGAUUAGCUAGUUGGUGGGGUAAAGGCCUACCAAGGCGACGAUCCGUAACUGGUCUGAGAGGAUGAUCAGUCACACUGGAACGGGGAAACGGUCCAGAUGCCUACGGGAGGAAGCAGUGGGGAAUAUUGGACAAGGGGCGAAAGCCUAAUCAAGCCAUGCGGCUUGUGUGAAGAAGGUCUUCGGAUUGUAAAGCACGUUAAGUUGGGAGGCGUUACCAACAGAAUAAGCACCGGCUAACUUCGUGCCAGCAGCCGCGGUAAUUC
rnacentral:rRNA from 1 species